UUCUUAUCAAGAGUGGUGGAGGGACUGGCCCAAUGAAGCCCAGCAACCAGUAGUAAUUGUAUUUAAUUACUAAACAGGUGCUAAAUCCUACAGUAAGAAUUAGUAUUUCUUACUGAAAGAUGCGAA
rnacentral:ncRNA from 2 species